rnacentral:rRNA from 1 species
UACAGAGGUCCCAAGCGUUGUCCGGAUUUACUGGGCGUAAAGAGCGCGCAGGCGGUCGUUCAAGUCGCGUGUGAAAGCCCCCGGCUCAACUGGGGAGGGUCACGCGAUACUGAUCGACUCGAAGGCAGGAGAGGGUAGUGGAAUUCCCGGUGUAGUGGUGAAAUGCGUAGAUAUCGGGAGGAACACCAGUGGCGAAGGCGACUACCUGGACAAUUGCUGACGCUCAGGCACGAAAGCGUGGGGAGCAAAAGGG